rnacentral:misc_RNA from 1 species
UACGGAGGGGGCUAGCGUUGUUCGGAAUCACUGGGCGUAAAGGGCGUGUAGGCGGCGGAUUUAGUUAGGCGUGAAAGCCCCGGGCUCAACCUGGGAACUGCGCUUAAUACUGGUCUGCUAGAGUCCGGGAGAGGCGAGUGGAAUAUCCAGUGUAGAGGUGAAAUUCGUAGAUAUUGGAUGGAACACCGAUGGCGAAGGCAGCUCGCUGGACCGGAACUGACGCUGAGGCGCGAAAGCGUGGGGAGCAAACAGG